GACGAACGCUGGCGGCGUGCUUAACACAUGCAAGUCGAACGGAAAGGCCCUGCUUUUGUGGGGUGCUCGAGUGGCGAACGGGUGAGUAACACGUGAGUAACCUGCCCUUGACUUUGGGAUAACUUCAGGAAACUGGGGCUAAUACCGGAUAGGAGCUCCUGCUGCAUGGUGGGGGUUGGAAAGUUUCGGCGGGUGGGGAUGGACUCGCGGCUUAUCAGCUUGUUGGUGGGGUAGUUGCUUACCAAGGCUUUGACGGGUAGGCGGCCUGAGAGGGUGACCGGCCACCUUGGGACUGAGAUACGGCCCAGACUCCUACGGGAGGCAGCAGUGGGGAAUAUUGCACAAUGGGAGGAAGCCUGAUGCAGCAACGCCGCGUGCGGGAUGACGGCCUUCGGGUUGUAAACCGCUUUCGCCUGUGACGAAGCGUGAGUGACGGUAAUGGGUAAAGAAGCACCGGCUAACUACGUG
rnacentral:rRNA from 1 species